ACGAACGCUGGCGGCAUGCCUAACACAUGCAAGUCGAACGAGACCUUCGGGUCUAGUGGCGCACGGGUGCGUAACGCGUGGGAACCUGCCCUUAGGUUCGGAAUAACUCCCCGAAAGGGGUGCUAAUACCGGAUAAUGUCUUCGGACCAAAGAUUUAUCGCCUUUGGAUGGGCCCGCGUUGGAUUAGCUAGUUGGUAGGGUAAAAGCCUACCAAGGCGACGAUCCAUAGCUGGUCUGAGAGGAUGAUCAGCCACACUGGGACUGAGACACGGCCCAGACUCCUACGGGAGGCAGCAGUAGGGAAUAUUGGACAAUGGGCGAAAGCCUGAUCCAGCAAUGCCGCGUGAGUGAUGAAGGCCUUAGGGUUGUAAAGCUCUUUUACCCGGGAUGAUAAUGACAGUACCGGGAGAAUAAGCUCCGGCUAACUCCGUG
rnacentral:rRNA from 1 species